UUUGACAACGAGGGGGCAGCUGACGUGGGACGAGCACACGAGACCGAUUACACAGCUGGUGAUGCUGAUCAGCGUCAAGGUGGUCUUAUUCACAGGACUUCGGGGGGAGCCCACUGGAAGCAAGAUACAAGCAAGACACGUGGCGGAUGAAUCUGUGAGCCUGUACAGUAACUACCCACUUCACAGGUGCUCGAAUGCGAGACUGGACUCUCCCUCUUCCUCCGAUUUCCAUCACCUGGAGAACGGCACCCUCGGCGACUCGGGUUUCUCAAGUGGGAAAACUCCAUCCUCUGUUCCAGAAGCCA